GCCUUGGUAGUUCAAUGGUAGAAUUCUUGCCUCCCAUGCCGGAGACCUGGGUUCGAUUCCUGGCCAAUACG
rnacentral:tRNA from 1 species